rnacentral:rRNA from 1 species
AUUGAACGCUGGCGGCAGGCCUAACACAUGCAAGUCGAGCGAGCGGCGGACGUGUGAGUAAUGCCUGGGAAUUGCCCAGUCGAGGGGGAUAACAGUUGGAAACGACUGCUAAUACCGCAUCCGGUUGGAUUCCCCAGGUGGGAUUAGCUCGUUGGUGAGGUAAUGGCUCACAAAGGCGACGAUCCCGAGCUGGUCUGAGAGGAUGAUCAGCCACACUGUAACUGAGACACGGUCCAGACUCCUACGGGAGGAAGAAGUGGGGAAUAGUGCACAAUGGGUGAAAGCCUGAUGCAGCCAUGCCGCGUGUAUGAAGAAGGCCUUCGGGUUGUAAAGCACUUUCAGCGAGGAGGCGUUACUCGCAGAAGAAGCACCGGCUAACUCCGUGCCAGCAGCCGCGGUAAUUC